GACGAACGCUGGCGGCGUGCUUAACACAUGCAAGUCGAACGGAAAGGCCCUGCUUUUGUGGGGUGCUCGAGUGGCGAACGGGUGAGUAACACGUGAGUAACCUGCCCUUGACUUUGGGAUAACUUCAGGAAACUGGGGCUAAUACCGGAUAGGAGCUCCUGCUGCAUGGUGGGGGUUGGAAAGUUUCGGCGGUUGGGGAUGGACUCGCGGCUUAUCAGCUUGUUGGUGGGGUAGUGGCUUACCAAGGCUUUGACGGGUAGCCGGCCUGAGAGGGUGACCGGCCACAUUGGGACUGAGAUACGGCCCAGACUCCUACGGGAGGCAGCAGUGGGGAAUAGUGCACGAUGGGCGGAAGCCUGAUGCAGCAACGCCGCGUGCGGGAUGACGGCCUUCGGGUUGUAAACCGCUUUCGCCUGUGACGAAGCGUGAGUGACGGUAAUGGGUAAAGAAGCACCGGCUAACUACGUG
rnacentral:rRNA from 1 species